CGCCUAUGCAUUAAUGGACUUAUAAACAUCAGAGAAAUAGAGUAAACAACAUGAAAUGUUAUGCGAAAGAAAACUUCUACUCUAAUAUUAAUGGCCUACUUUUGGAAUUAUACUCUGAAAAUAAAUCUUCAUAUUGGAAAUUAUUACGUUAUAUUGUUAAAAACUCGGGCUCUAAUUCGCAUAUUCCUCCUCUCAAGCAGAAUGUUGAUGAUGAAUU